CCUACGGGGGGCAGCAGUGGGGAAUAUUGCACAAUGGGGGAAACCCUGAUGCAGCGACGCCGCGGGAGUGAAGAAGGAUUUCGGUAAGGAAAGCUCUGUCAGCAGGGAAGAAAAUGACGGUACCUGACCAAGAAGCCCCGGCUAACUACGGGCCAGCAGCCGCGGUAAUACGUAGGGGGCAAGCGUUAUCCGGAUUUACUGGGUGUAAAGGGAGCGUAGACGGCAGGGCAAGUCUGGAGUGAAAGGCGGGGGCUCAACCCCCGGACUGCUCUGGAAACUGCCAGGCUGGAGUGCAGGAGAGGUAAGUGGAAUUCCUAGUGUAGCGGUGAAAUGCGUAGAUAUUAGGAGGAACACCAGUGGCGAAGGCGGCUUACUGGACUGUAACUGACGUUGAGGCUCGAAAGCGUGGGGAGCAAACAGGAUUAGAUACCCUUGUAGUC
rnacentral:rRNA from 1 species